rnacentral:rRNA from 1 species
ACKGCUCAGUAACACGUGGCUAACCCACCCUCGGGACGGAGACAACCCCGGGAAACUGGGACUAAUACUCGAUAGGCGAAGACUCCUGGAAUGGGUCUUCACCCAAAAGGUGUUAGGAUCAUGCUUCUUAACAUCGCCCGAGGACGGGGCCGCGACCGAUCAGGUAGUUGGCGAGGCAACGGCUCACCAAGCCUAUAACCGGUACGGGCCGCGGGAGCGGGAGCCCGGAGAUGGGCACUGAGACAAGGGCCCAGGCCCUACGGGGCGCAGCAGUUGCGAAAACUUGUCAAUGCACGAAAGUGUGAACGGGCUACCCCGAGUGCCGUCCGCUGAGGAUGGCUUUUCUCUGCUGUAAGGAGGCGGAGGAAUAAGGAGAGGGCAAGUCUGGUGUCAGCCGCCGCGGUAAUACCAGCUCUCCGAGUGGUAGGGAUGAUUAUUGGGCUUAAAGCGCCCAUAGCCGGCUUUUCAAGUCUUUCGUUAAAUCCAGCGAUUUAAUCGUUGGACUGCGGGAGAUACUGUUUGGCUAGGGGGCGGGAGAAGCCGACGGUAUUCUUGGGGUAGGGGUAAAAUCCUAUAAUCCCAGGAAGACCACCAGUGGCGUAGGCGGUCGGCUAGCACGCGCUCGACGGUGAGGGACGAAAGCUGGGGGAGCGAACCGGAUUAGAUACCCGGGUAGUCCCAGCUGUAAACGAUGCGGGCUAGGUGUUGGAGCGGCUACGAGCCGCUUCAGUGCCGCAGGGAAGCCAUUAGGCCCGCCGCCUAGGGAGUACGGCCGCAAGGCUGAAACUUAAAGGAAUUGGCGGGGGAGCAC